rnacentral:piRNA from 1 species
AUAACUGUGCAGUUGAAUUUAAUUUUGG